UACGGAGGGUGCGAGCGUUGUCCGGAAUCACUGGGCGUAAAGGGCGCGUAGGUGGCGCGGGCAGUCAACGGUGAAAGUUCGGGGCUCAACCCUGAAUCGGCCGUCGAUACUCCCGGGCUUGAGCACUGUAGAGGCAGAUGGAAUUCCGGGUGUAGCGGUGGAAUGGCGUAGAUAUCGGAAGGAACGCCGGUGGCGAAAGCGACGUGCUGGACCCUUUCUGACGCUGAGGCGCGAAAGCCAGGGGAGCAAACGGG
rnacentral:rRNA from 1 species